AGUUUGUGGGCACCAACCGAUAAAGCAACCAGUCCCAGCAUAGGGGCGGAGGGACACAGGAGCAGGUCUAGCCAUGAAUGAGCUGAACAAGAGAAAACUGCAAUGACAUCCAGCUAAAAGCUAUGAACAUACAGGCAUGGGUCAGUUGGAAGAAUGGUGAGCACGUCGGAGAAACUGUUGCGUCCCUCUUGUUACUGAGGCCGUUGUCCUUACUGGCCCUGUGGAUCAUCUGGGCCUGAUGACAGCUGAAAACAUGAAAACCCGUGAGAACAGCGACACCACAAGACCUAUAGGAG